UACGUAGGGUGCAAGCGUUGUCCGGAAUUAUUGGGCGUAAAGGGCUCGUAGGCGGUCUGUCACGUCGGGAGUGAAAACACGGGGCUUAACCCCGUGCCUGCUUCCGAUACGGGCAGACUAGAGGUAUGCAGGGGAGAACGGAAUUCCUGGUGUAGCGGUGAAAUGCGCAGAUAUCAGGAGGAACACCGGUGGCGAAGGCGGGUCUCUGGGCCGAUACUGACACUGAGGAGCGAAAGCGUGGGGAGCGAACAGG
rnacentral:rRNA from 1 species